AGAGUUUGAUCAUGGCUCAGGAUGAACGCUAGCGGCAGGCUUAACACAUGCAAGUCGAGGGGUAUAGGUUUUCGGACCUAGAGACCGGCGCACGGGUGCGUAACGCGUAUGCAAUCUACCUUUUACAGAGGGAUAGCCCAGAGAAAUUUGGAUUAAUACCUCAUGGUAUUAUUGAAUGGCAUCAUUUAAUAAUUAAAGUCACAACGGUAAAAGAUGAGCAUGCGUCCCAUUAGCUUGUUGGUAAGGUAACGGCUUACCAAGGCAACGAUGGGUAGGGGUCCUGAGAGGGAGAUCCCCCACACUGGUACUGAGACACGGACCAGACUCCUACGGGAGGCAGCAGUGAGGAAUAUUGGUCAAUGGGCGCAAGCCUGAACCAGCCAUGCCGCGUGCAGGAUGACGGUCCUAUGGAUUGUAAACUGCUUUUGUACAGGAAGAAACAGUUCUACGUGUAGAACCUUGACGGUACUGUAAGAAUAAGGAUCGGCUAACUCCGUGCCAGCAGCCGCGGUA
rnacentral:rRNA from 1 species